CUACAGACGCCAAUUUUCUCUCUCUCUCUCUCUCUCUCUCUCUCUCUCUCUCUCUCUCUCUAUCUCUCUGCUUACUCACAUCUUCUCGUAUUCUAUCAUCAUCGUCGCAAACCUUGACGAUUUCGAAUUUCUUCCCGAAAACCCUAAGGGAGAAACGUUUCGUCACUGCCGUACUGUUCAUAUUGCUGUGAGAGAGACAGACCUUCGCUAUUUUGCGUCAGCGACGGAGAUGCGUCAAUUAGACAUUCCUGCGUGGAGCUUCCGGUGAUAAAAAAACGCGAUUGAUAAAUGAUUCCACAAUCAUCUUCCUCUUCUAGCUUCGAUUUCUUAUCUCACGCUAACGUCUCACGCCGUCUGCUAUGUCCCUGCUCCAACGAGCACGGCCUGAUUCUCUUCCCAGAUAGAUUCGCGAGGCGGCGGAUUCUCCGCCGCAAGACCAGAUUUCAGGUGACGAAUGCGAACUCGAAGCUCGUUUCCAGCGGAAUUCGCGUGGAUUCCGCGAGAAAGGUCGCGAGGAGUCUCGUGCUUGCUCGGUUCUCGAAUGAAUUCGAAGACGAACAAGAAUCAUCAUCGCAUGAGUCUACGAUUCAGAGUGACCGAAGCAGCAGUUUCACUAACUACCGAGAAGAUCCGAUCGUGGACAAGCUCAGGACUCAGCUCGGCGCUAUCCACCCCAUCCCCUCUCCACCAUUCAACCGCAGCGCGAUUGGUCUCUUCGCCUUCUUCUUCUUCGUCGGCGUCGUCUGCGACAAGCUCUGGGCGUGGAGGAAGAGGCGGAGGCAAGACAGGCAGCAGAGAGCCGGGCCAUGGGCGCAGCUCCCCUCCCCCUCCUUCGAGAAGGAUUUGCAGAGGAAAGAGUCGGUGGAGUGGGUGAACAUGGUGCUGGUGAAGCUCUGGAAAGUUUACAGAGGCGGGAUUGAGAAUUGGCUCGUCGGGCUGUUGCAGCCUGUGAUUGAUGACUUGAAGAAGCCUGAUUAUGUUAAGAGAGUUGAGAUUAAGCAGUUUUCGCUUGGGGAUGAGCCUUUGUCUGUUAGAAAUGUUGAGAGGAGGACGUCGAGACGCGUCAAUGACUUGCAGUACCAGAUUGGUCUUAGGUAUACUGGUGGUGCUCGGAUGUUGUUGAUGCUCACUUUAAAGUUUGGUAUCAUCCCAGUAGUCGUGCCAGUUGGUAUUCGGGACUUUGACAUCGACGGUGAGCUUUGGGUUAAGUUAAGAUUGAUACCAUCAGCGCCUUGGGUUGGAGCUGCAUCAUGGGCAUUUGUAUCACUUCCAAAGAUCAAAUUUGAGCUGGCACCAUUCCGGUUGUUUAAUCUGAUGGGAAUUCCUGUUCUAUCAAUGUUCUUGACCAAACUGCUGACAGAAGAUUUGCCUCGCUUAUUUGUACGGCCAAAGAAAAUUGUCUUGGAUUUCCAGAAAGGAAAAGCUGUUGGACCUGUUUCAGAAGACCUAAAAUCUGGAGACAUGCAGGAAGGGAACAAGGAUUUUGUUGGGGAACUGUCUGUUACUCUCGUAAAUGCCCAGAAACUUCCAUACAUGUUCUCUGGUAGAACGGAUCCAUAUGUUAUAUUACGGAUGGGUGAUCAAGUUAUCCGCAGUAAGAAGAAUAGUCAAACUACUGUGAUUGGGGCUCCUGGUCAGCCAAUCUGGAAUCAGGACUUCCAAUUCCUUGUUUCAAAUCCUAGAGAACAAGUAUUACAAAUUGAAGUCAACGACUGUCUUGGAUUCGCCGAUAUGGCUAUUGGCAUCGGAGAGGUUGCUCUCGGAUCACUGCCAGAUACGGUUCCUACAGACAGAUUUGUUGUUUUGCAAGGAGGUUGGAGUUUGUUCGGAAAGGGAUCUGCUGGAGAAAUACUACUACGGCUUACGUACAAAGCAUACGUGGAGGAUGAAGAAGAUGAUAAACGCAAUGCAAAAGCCAUUAAUGCAGAUGCUUCGGAUGAUGAAAUGUCUGAUUCUGAAGAGCCUAGCUCAUUCGUGCAGAUUGAUGAGAUUCCUUCUGAUGAUCUUAGUCAAGAAUCGUUUAUGAAUGUGCUGUCUGCAUUAAUUUUAAGCGAGGAAUUUCAAGGCAUAGUUUCAUCAGAAGCUGGGAAUAAACUUUAUGAAGGUGAAGAAAGCGUGUCACCAGUAUCCUCAAAGGCUACGGAAGACUCAAAAUCUCAACCGGACGAUUCUGGCAAUGGGGGCAUAUCAGAUUUGAAAGUGAAAAGCCCGAGUUCUGAUAGAAGCUCCGUUGAUGAUGGAGGAUUAGCAUUACUGUGGUUCAGUGUAAUCACUUCUGUAUUGGUGCUCGUUGCUAUUAACAUGGGCGGCUCAAGUUUCUUCAACCCGUAACAUGGUGUUGUAUGGAUCACUAGUGGUUUAUUUUGCCAACGUAAGUCUCCGAACCUAGAAAUGGAAACUUCGUUGGUUCAUUCUCUCUUGUCGACCUUGGAGAUGGCUUAUAACGAAGUCUCAGUUUUGUGUUUACAUUCUGGUGCCAUUUGUAUGCAUGUCAUUAGAAGAGGGGCAUUUAUUGGCGGCAUAAAGUUUUAGGAUAUAUUUCACACAAUCUCUUGCAACAGUGAAUCAGCGUGUAUACCAGUGGUUUCUUAUAUAGUACAUGGAAAAUUUAUUCUCCAUUCAAAUGAAGUUUAUUCUUUCUGCAAGUAAACGAUUCUGUUUUCCAUAACACGUAGCACAGUAACCCUUGCUAUUAGCAGUCACCAACUUGAAGGCUUUAAAAAAAAAUAUUCUUCUGUGAAUUUGUUGGUGGAAAUUUACACUUGGAAGUAGAAAUAAUGCUGUUCAGUUUAGUUUUGUCCAUAUUUCAGGUACAUGUACAACAACUGUAAUACUCUGCCAUGAAUGUGCCUAGAGGACCAAGAGUAUAAACAAGGUACAAUUUUAUCUUC